UGGGGAAUUUUGGACAAUGGGCGAAAGCCUGAUCCAGCAAUGCCGCGUGUGUGAAGAAGGCCUUCGGGUUGUAAAGCACUUUUGUCCGGAAAGAAAUCCUCUGGGUUAAUACCUCGGGGGGAUGACGGUACCGGAAGAAUAAGCACCGGCUAACUACGUGCCAGCAGCCGCGGUAAUACGUAGGGUGCAAGCGUUAAUCGGAAUUACUGGGCGUAAAGCGUGCGCAGGCGGUUUUGUAAGACGGAUGUGAAAUCCCCGGGCUUAACCUGGGAACUGCAUUCGUGACUGCAAGGCUAGAGUAUGGCAGAGGGGGGUAGAAUUCCACGUGUAGCAGUGAAAUGCGUAGAGAUGUGGAGGAAUACCGAUGGCGAAGGCAGCCCCCUGGGCCAAGUACUGACGCUCAUGCACGAAAGCGUGGGGAGCAAACAGGAUUAGAUACCCUGGUAGUCCACGCCCUAAACGAUGUCAACUAGUUGUUGGGGAUUCAUUUCCUUAGUAACGUAGCUAACGCGUGAAGUUGACCGCCUGGGGGAGUACGGUCGCAAGAUUAAAACUCAAAUGAAUUGACGGGGUC
rnacentral:rRNA from 1 species